UGGGGAAUAUUGCACAAUGGGCGCAAGCCUGAUGCAGCCAUGCCGCGUGUAUGAAGAAGGCCUUCGGGUUGUAAAGUACUUUCAGCGGGGAGGAAGGGAGUAAAGUUAAUACCUUUGCUCAUUGACGUUACCCGCAGAAGAAGCACCGGCUAACUCCGUGCCAGCAGCCGCGGUAAUACGGAGGGUGCAAGCGUUAAUCGGAAUUACUGGGCGUAAAGCGCACGCAGGCGGUUUGUUAAGUCAGAUGUGAAAUCCUCGGGCUCAACCUGGGAACUGCAUCUGAUACUGGCAAGCUUGAGUCUCGUAGAGGGGGGUAGAAUUCCAGGUGUAGCGGUGAAAUGCGUAGAGAUCUGGAGGAAUACCGGUGGCGAAGGCGGCCCCCUGGACGAAGACUGACGCUCAGGUGCGAAAGCGUGGGGAGCAAGCAGG
rnacentral:rRNA from 1 species